GCUACAUCACAUUGAAACAGCAGUUCUCAUAUGAUCACCAAAGUUAAGCAACAUCAAGCCUGGUCAGUAGCUAGAUGGGUGAUGACUUGGGAAUACAAGGUGCUGUAAG